UUUUACAGCCCUUUGUAUUUAUUGGGUAACAAGAGCAGGGAGGAGGAGGUAAGGAUUGAUCAGCUAUUUAAUUGAUCACAGGUUCAUGUUGUUACUGGCAGGCUUCAGUUAUGCCUAAUCAUAAGAAAUACUCGUGCCUGGAUGGUGACGCCCUCGGCAGCCCUUGUGCGCAGCAGACGCAGUUUGUCAGUUUGCCAACGUUCUGCAUCUGUGAGAACAGUUUGCUGUUUACUCCUAUGGCCCCCGGUGCUGUACUGAGUUGAUCACGGCCCUCAUUCUUUCGGCCUCUAACACGCCCCUUCGCCCACGUUUUCUCCACAGCGUCGUGCCCUCUGCACUCACCGAGAACAAGGGUCUCGGGAGCACCUACAGCGUCACCUUCCAGGACACUGAGCAGGGCAGUGGCGUCCCUCCCCGGCAGCUGGGCAGGUGGACGUGGGACCGGCGCCCGGCCUCUCAUCCAGUCCAGCCUCCCUUUUUUUCACUGUUGGGAUUUAGUCUCUUCUGUCGAACAGACAGGAUUAAAAUCAGGGCUUCUCUGCA